CUGGGGGCGCUCGCGGGCUGGGCGGGCUGUGCUGCGGGGCCUGUCGGAUCCAGGGACGGGUCUGCUUCUGGGGCUCACAAAGGUGCACAGGUGCUGAAGAACCAUCCUGGUGCCCAGGGACAAUGGUGCCCACCUGUACGUGCACAGCGGUGCACACGAGACACCCAGGUCCUGUGCCGGGGUGAAUUCCCCGAGAGGAGAGGGGACAAUGUCACUCGCUAAGUCCCACAGCCACUGCCCACUGAGUGAACCCACUGCCUUGCCUGGGAGACAGAAUCUACAGGAUUGGCUGGCGUCUUGCUGAUCCUGGGGAGGUGGUCCUGCCCAGAGCUACCCAGUGGUAGUACAGGACGCACCUGCCAGCACACCUUUUGUAUGUCUACGAAACAGCCCGGAGCCCACCACCUCCCACCUCCUCUCUCUGCUGACCUGCUCCAGACACUGUCCACCCCUUCUGCAUCCCAGGCCCAACACGAGACGACGAGGGUUGGCCUUCAAGCCCCAGAACCUGCUGACUUGAUCUGAACAAGCCUGCCCCACCCUGCUCACCUGCUUUGCUUGUUCCUCCCUGUGGAAACUGCAAUAAAAGGUCUUGCCUG